rnacentral:rRNA from 1 species
CCCUUAGAUGUUCUGGGCUGCACGCGCGCUACAAUGAUGCAGGCAGUGAGGAGUGUACUUGACCGAGAGGUCUGGUUUCUUGCUCGUAAUCUGCAUCGUGCUGGGGAUAGAUCAUUGUAAUUAUUGAUCUUGAACGAGGAAUGCCUAGUAAGCGCGAGUCAUUAGCUCGCGCUGAUUACGUCCCUGCCCUUUGUACACACCGCCCGUCGCUCCUGCCAAUGGGUAGGAUGGUGAGAAAGAGUGCUUGACCGCUCUAACGAGUGAGUCCAAGGCCUCUCCCGAAUCAUUCUAUCUAAAGGAAGGAGAANUCGUANCA